UACGUAGGGUGCGAGCGUUAAUCGGAAUUACUGGGCGUAAAGCGUGCGCAGGCUGUUUUGUAAGUCAGAUGUGAAAUCCCCGAGCUCAACUUGGGAACUGCGUUUGAAACUACAAGACUAGAAUAUGUCAGAGGGGGGUAGAAUUCCACGUGUAGCAGUGAAAUGCGUAGAGAUGUGGAGGAAUACCAAUGGCGAAGGCAGCCCCCUGGGAUAAUACUGACGCUACAUGCACGAAAGCGUGGGGAAGCAAACGAGGAUUACGAAACCGGAGUAAGA
rnacentral:rRNA from 1 species